ensembl:snRNA U6 U6 spliceosomal RNA
GUGCUUGCUUUGGCAGCACAUACACAAAAUUGGAAUGAUACAGAGAGAUUAGUAUGGUUCCUGUGCAAGAAGGACACGCAAACUUGUGGAAAAAUCCCUAUUUUU